rnacentral:rRNA from 1 species
UACGUAGGGGGCGAGCGUUGUCCGGAAUCAUUGGGCGUAAAGAGCUCGUAGGCGGUUUGUCGCGUCUGCCGUGAAAGUCCGGGGCUCAACUCCGGAUCUGCGGUGGGUACGGGCAGACUAGAGUGAUGUAGGGGAGACUGGAAUUCCUGGUGUAGCGGUGAAAUGCGCAGAUAUCAGGAGGAACACCGAUGGCGAAGGCAGGUCUCUGGGCAUUAACUGACGCUGAGGAGCGAAAGCAUGGGGAGCGAACAGG